rnacentral:tRNA from 2 species
GCGGAUUUAGCUCAGCGGCAGAGCGGCGCGUUAACGACGCAGGACCAUGUUCGACUCAUGGAAUCCGCACCA